CUAGAAUUCAGAUGCUUUUGGCUUGACCAAGGCCCGUGUGACUUGGUCCUCUGCCACCAUCCUUUGUACUACAGAGCUCUCUAAUAAGAUCUCGCGAGGGCAAAUGAGAGUCAUGGGUCAUAGGAUCAGGGGACAGAACCUAGGCCCAGCUAAGGAAAGAAAGCUGAAGUGAAUUCACCCAAACCCUUUUAACUUCUGCUCCUCUGCUCUAAAACACUUCAUGCCCCACCCCAGAGCCUGCUACUCAAACCACAGGCCCUGUCUCAGGAAAUCAACUUGGGUUGAUCCUCAGCAGCUUUAAAAACAAGAGAUAAAAUAAUGAACAAGACAAAACGAAUCACUGUGAAGAAAUCGAACAGGAAUUACCAGACAUGGCUGCUGAAGUCAUCCUGAAUCUCCUCCCGAGCUGGUUUCCAUUCCUUCACCCAGGCUCUCAACGGCUAACAGAUAAACACUUUUCUACCUCCUCAUCUGGGAUCCAGUCUAGGAGCCUGCCUUGUACUUGGUUCUCAUGUCCUUUUAAUCUGGAACAAUCCCUUAGCUGUCUUUGUCUUCAGAGACAUUCACAUCUUUGAAGAAUAUGGACCACUGAGAUUGUAGGAUUUCUUUCAAUUUGGCUUUGCCCAGUGUUUUUCUGUGGUUAGAGUCCAAUAAUUAUAGGUGGAAUACAUGGUACGUGAAGCUAUAUCCUUCUCAGUGCUGCACAUCAGGAGCCACUGGAGGUCAACCUAUUAGUAAGACUCAAAUCUGUGCCUCUUCAAACUUUCACCAAAUAUUCUGGCAUUUCUUGAUGAUUCUUGCUGAAUUCAAUUGUUUCUAUGAUGUCAGCAACAAGUGCCAGUCAUUACCGCAUAUCUAAUUUAGCAUAUUCAUGCUCCAUCUUAUUUUUGUAAAUGAGUGAAAAUUCAGUUUGAAAAUUUAUAUGCUGGAGCUGGGGGUGUAGCUCAGUGUUAGAACAUGUGCUUAGCAUGUGUGAGGCCUUGAGUUUGAUCCUCAGCACACAAAGGAAACCCCACAAAAAUUCUUUGCUAAUGAUAAUAAAAAAUUAAUUAGCUCAUGUGUGUAGACCAGUGGGUUUGUACUGCUUGACCCUUUUUGAGCUUAUAGAGGUACCAUGUUACAAAGGAGACUUUCACAGGUUCUUUCAAGAUGUUGCUGACACAGGUUCUCAUUGUCAUUUCAAUCUUUUGUUGUCCUUUCUUUUCUUACUGAACCAGAGCCUCCUGCGUGCCAGGGAAGCAUUCUAUCACUGAGCGACAUCCCGAGCCCCAUUUCAAUCUUUAAGAUUAGAGCUUUUUUGCAACCAGCUUCUGACAUGUUAUGGCUAUGGUUUUUGAAAAAGAAUCUAGAUGUGUAUUCAUGUGUAAAUCACAUUCAUGUUCAGUUCAAACUAGAACUUUGACAUUACUUUUAAUCAAUCACACACAUUAUGCAGCUUCCAUAGCAUGGCAGAGAAAUUGCUUGAUGUUAGUUCUGGGAGGCUACGGCCAAACCCUGAAAUGGUGGGUGGGACGUGUGGGGUAGGUCCUUCUCAGGUUCCUGCUGUCUUAGACAAAGGACGUUUGCAUUAUGAAGGUGAGCUAAACAUCUCUGCAAUAAUAGAUGGGGCCUUCAACAAGGUCAUUUCUGCAACUACACCACAAGAAGAAGGCUUCUGCCUUGUCUCUCAGAAUCAAGAAGUGGCUUCAGAAUUGUUUGACUUCUGUCAAAAGGCUGCGUUUCAGCAAGCAUUGAGCAAACAUCACCUGUUCUAGCCAAACACACCCUCCUAACCCCAGCAUAUGGGAAGAAUAACAAGGUGGAGAGCCUCAAGGAUGUCUGGCCCUUUUCCAUUUUCUACCUGGAAAAAAUGUCUUCAUCUCAGCAUUGCUAUUUGCUUAUAACAAUUGUGCCUUAUAUUAUCUGCGUCUUGGGGCCAGUGCUAACACUGCCACAUAUUUGAACAAUGACUCACACCUCAAGUCCUUUUAGAGAUAUCCUGACCAUGAAUUUGUUAUGCAAACCAGAAAAAAUGGUCUUAUGUUUUCAAUCGGACUUGUCUUCCCAAAAAGGGACUGUUAAAUAGUGAUAAUUGAUAAAAACUGUAUUUUGGGGUGUAUGUGUGUGUGUGUGUGUGUGUGUGUGUGUGUGGCUGGAAUUUGAACCCAGGGACUUCUGCUAAUGCUCUCCCACUGGAAGUCCUGAUCUCUUAAAAAUGCUUUUAAUUAUGAAAAAAAUAUUUGAAUCAUGUGAUGGUUCUAAAACCAAAGGAAAACCUUGCUUGUUCUUAUCAUCAAUGUCAGAGGAAAGACGGCUGAGCAGUGCACCCCCAUGGGCUUUGCUAUCAGUAACACCUCUGAUAUAUGGUCAUUAUGGUAAUAGUUGUUUCAAUUGGUUCUCAGGAAGUUAGAGGAUGCUUUCAUCUCUCUCAAACCAAUUGAAUUCAGCCACACUUUUCAUUUUGCAUGGCCCUGCCUAAGUGUCCAAUGGUGACCUUUUGAUAGCAAACAAACAAAAUAUGCACCUUCAAAUGACACCGACUCACCAUUUUCUAAACUUGUGAACUGCAUAAACUGUGACACCUUUCCCUCUGCCUCAUAUCAUGCUGUUUCUGUAUCACAUAAGCCCCUAAAUACUAUCUUCAGAGAGGUAAGUUGAAAGUGCUCCCUCUUUAUGAUUAGUGUCUCACGAACAAAAUGUUUCUCUUGUGUAAAACUCAUUUCAGUGACUGGUAUAUGGUGCAAAAUGGGUCUUUUUGCUAGAGUUCAAAUAUAAAACAAAUAAAAGUAAUAUAUUCUCUGA